GCGGCGGAACUAAGUAACCAAUCAAAAGUUGUCUUUUAUCCAUUGCUGAUUGGUCCAUUUAUAGCGUCACCUCGCCGCGUGCUCUCUCUUUGCCGGUGAAAUUACAAAGUCAACAGCAUGGAUUACGGAUACAACGGAUACAGCGGUGGUGGUGGCUAUGAUGAUGGGUAUGGAGGAUAUGGAGGUGGUUAUGAUCAAGGAUAUGGUGGUGGUUACGGGGGUGGUGGUGGAUAUGGCGGUGGUUAUGGAGGUGGUGGUGGUGGUGGCCGAGGACGAGGCGGUGGAGGAAGAGGACGUGGCCGCGGAGGUGGUGGUGGCAUAGGUGGAGGUCGUGGCGAUGGAGAAUAUUGGAGGAAACCAGAAUCUAAACCAUUCAGGAAACUCUUCAUUGGUGGGCUAAGUUACGACACAACAGAAGAAAGUUUAAAAUCACAUUUUGAGACUUGGGGAGAAGUUGUCGACGUUGUAGUAAUGAAAGAUCCAAACACAAAAAGGUCACGUGGAUUUGGUUUUGUAACAUACAGUGAAUCAAAAAGUGUUGAAGACGCACAGGCAAACAGACCCCACCACAUUGAUGGCAGAGAGGUGGAGUCAAAACGUGCCAUGCCCAGACUGGACGAUGGAACAGCAGAAUCUUCAGAGUCCACAAAGAAAUUGUUUGUUGGUGGUAUAAAAGAGGGCGACACAGAACAGGAUGUAAGGGAGAUCUUUGGCCAAGAAGGCGAAAUUGAACAAGUCAAUAUGGUCACAGACAAAGCCACAGGAAAACAAAAGCCAUUCUGUUUCAUUACGUUUGAAGAUGUAGACACCACAGACAAAUGUGUUUUAAAACACGAGUUUGUAAUAAAUAAUCACAAUGUACAAGUAAAGAAAGCAGAAGAAAAGGGAGGUGGUGGUGGACGAGGUGGUCGUGGUGGAGGAAGAGGUGGUUAUGGUGGUGGCCGCGGUAAUGGUGGAGGAUAUGGUCGUGGUGGUGCACGAUGGUAGAUGUCUUGAAUCUCAUCCCAUUAUCUAGUCUCUGAGAAAUCAACUAUGGACUGAAUGCAGAUACUGUGAGUGAGGCGACGGAUGCAAAUAUUUGAAGGAAACUACAAAACGACACCAUACCUACACAGUACAGUGCUGAUGCAUAAUACAAGGGGAAACUGGAGAGUUGAACUUCUUCAGACAAGUCCGAAACAAUGGUGCAUGUUUGAAUUUUGGCUUUUCAGUCUUCAGGCAUGAAGUUGAUGCUGAUCUUGUUCUUCAUAUUCCAUCAUAAAUAAUGGUGGUGAGAAUGAUGGUGAUGAUGAUGAUCCAGAAUUGAAAGAAGACUAAUAUGCCUUGGAGCAUGCCAACAAAGCAAAAUAAAUGUUCAAAUCUACAUCGAGUGAAGUGUUUACAAUAAUUGAAAGGGAAAGAAACUAAUAAAAUGAAAAUAUGUCUAAA
rnacentral:misc_RNA from 1 species